UGGAGAUUCCAUAAAGUAUCAAACUUGAAUGACAGUUUUCUUUGCGAAUUAAAGGUCAAUUAACCUUUCUGGGGUAUGGAAAUUCUUACUUCCAGCACCGUACUAUGCCGUCUUGUUGUAAAUCUGAGGUCGAUAUUAGCUGAAAAUGUAUCGAAUUCUUGAACUUGCUGAUGAAUAUAACGACAAUCCACUUUAA